ACCAGGCAGAGCGCGUGUGGCCGCCGAGCACAUGGACCCACUGGUCAAGCGGGCUCGGCAAGGCCAGGAUGAAGAGAAGCUACGAACUUAGCAUUCCCAGAGCCCCCCGAGUGGAUAUCCGCGUGGAAAGGAUGUUGGCAGCCCCGGUGACCUCGGAGUCACGGCUGGAUCCACCCUCUUGUCUGAUUUUCUUAACUCUACUACGGUAAGAAGAUGCCCUCCAUCAGCAGGCCGUGUCUGCUGGGACCUCUCUGGAGACUUCCUGAACCCUGUGGAUUUACAGUAAGAUGCAGUUUCCUGGGGAGUAAUUCUGGUGGAUACAAAUUCCGGAGUAUUACACCUGGCUUGCCUGGAGAUGUUACAAGUAGCUGGAUGGAUUCUUCAGCCUGGAUGCCCACUGAAAACAAGGACCGAAACUAAGAGGAUUGUAUCUCUACCCUUGACUCAAUGAGAAUGUUUGUUGUCAUCUCUCGGGCUACCUGGAGCUCCCUCUAAAAUAGAGCCGAGUUCUGUCACCACAGACAUUGGCAGUGGCACUUGCAUGCCCCUGGCAAGCAGUCUAUCCUGAGGUGGAGGAAGUUGCCCUUGAGUUCUGGCUGGUAACCAGCACAGGGGCUGGGACACUGCCUGAUUGAGGUGGCCAUUGAGAAUUCAAGUGUACCUCUUGGUCCCUGAUGCAGAAAUGAAGUCCCCAGCAUGCUCAAGAAGAGCUUCCUUGGAGGAUGAGAGGCAUGGGAAUCUAAGUAUACCCUUUAAGCGUUCCAGAAGGAUUUUGAGAUCCUUUCCUAAAUCAAAGGUGGAAUAUUUGGGGAUUUGGAAAAUUGAGAUGUGAAGCGUUGACUUAAGAGAUGCCAAGUAACUCAGCAGAUGUCACACAGACGAUAAAUAGCAAAGAUGGAAGUCUUCAUGCCGGAGGCAAUCCUAUAAGACAGCUGAGUUCUGCAGAGCUGGUAGGAGACAGACUUGCUCAGGUGAUAGAUCCAGCCAUGAUACUGACCCUAAGAGAAUGAGACGCUCUGCAGAAGACAGAAGAUUCCUGAAACUGGGAAAGGUGCCUAGAAAUCCUGAUAAGAGUGAAGAAGGGUACCUGGAGGCACAGCAGCCAUGUUGAACCUAUGAGGUGAUGAAAAACCAUGCAACUAGAAACCAGAAUGGAAGAAAAGAAGAAGCUGGAUCCUUGACUGAAUUGUCGAUGGGGGAUAGUCCAUCAUCCCAGGGCUAAGACCACCUCCAGAUUUCUUGUUUGGUGAAACAAGUCCUGAUUGUUUACAUUCCCUCGUGUUGAGCUGUCUCUUGCUUGUAGCUGAAAGCAUUUCUAAUAGAUAUUCAGAUUAUCAGCCUUAGCUCCAAGCUAGAAUACUCUAUGGGACCUUAGCUUCUCCAUGAAUUCCUUUGCUCAUCUGUGUAAUGCUCAAUAAAUGUAAAUUGAACCCUGAAUGAGGGACAAUGACA
rnacentral:lncRNA from 1 species